AUUGAACGCUGGCGGUAUGCUUAACACAUGCAAGUCGAACGAGUGGCGGACGGGUGAGUAAUGCAUAGGAAUCUACCUUUUAGUCUAGGAUAACUACCCGAAAGGGUGGCUAAUACUGGAUGCUAAGCGAUGUGCCUAUGUGGGAUUAGCUAGUUGGUGGGGUAAUGGCUCACCAAGGCGACGAUCUCUAGCUGGUUUGAGAGGAGGGUCAGGCAGACUGGGACUGAGAACCGGCCCAGACUCCGACGGGAGGCAGCAGUUGGGAAUAUUGGACAAUAGGCGAAAGCCUGAGCCAGCAAGACCGCGUGUGUGAAGAAGGCCCUAGGGUUGUAAAGAACUUUUGUUAAGGAGGUGUUACCUAAAGAAUAAGCACCGGCUAACUCCGUGCCAGCAGCCGCGGUAAUUC
rnacentral:rRNA from 1 species